rnacentral:rRNA from 1 species
UACUCCUACGGGAGGCAGCAGUGGGGAAUAUUGCGCAAUGGGGGGAACCCUGACGCAGCCAUGCCGCGUGAAUGAAGAAGGCCUUCGGGUUGUAAAGUUCUUUCGGUAUUGAGGAAGGUUGAUGUGUUAAUAGCACAUCAAAUUGACGUUAAAUACAGAAGAAGCACCGGCUAACUCCGUGCCAGCAGCCGCGGUAAUACGGAGGGUGCGAGCGUUAAUCGGAAUAACUGGGCGUAAAGGGCACGCAGGCGGUUAUUUAAGUGAGGUGUGAAAGCCCUGGGCUUAACCUAGGAAUUGCAUUUCAGACUGGGUAACUAGAGUACUUUAGGGAGGGGUAGAAUUCCACGUGUAGCGGUGAAAUGCGUAGAGAUGUGGAGGAAUACCGAAGGCGAAGGCAGCCCCUUGGGAAUGUACUGACGCUCAUGCGCGAAAGCGUGGGGAGCAAACAGGAUUAGAUACCCUGGUAGUCCACGCUGUAAACGCUGUCGAUUUGGGGGUUGGGGUUUAACUCUGGCGCCCGUAGCUAACGUGAUAAAUCGACCGCCUGGGGAGUACGGCCGCAAGGUUAAAACUCAAAUGAAUUGACGGA